AAAUUGAAGAGUUUGAUCAUGGCUCAGAUUGAACGCUGGCGGCAGGCCUAACACAUGCAAGUCGAACGGUAGCACAGAGAGCUUGCUCUCGGGUGACGAGUGGCGGACGGGUGAGUAAUGUCUGGGAAACUGCCUGAUGGAGGGGGAUAACUACUGGAAACGGUGGCUAAUACCGCAUAACGUCGCAAGACCAAAGAGGGGGACCUUCGGGCCUCUUGCCAUCAGAUGUGCCAAGAUGGGAUUAGCUUGUUGGUGAGGUAACGGCUCACCAAGGCGACGAUCCCUAGCUGGUCUGAGAGGAUGACCAGCCACACUGGAACUGAGACACGGUCCAGACUCCUACGGGAGGCAGCAGUGGGGAAUAUUGCACAAUGGGCGCAAGCCUGAUGCAGCCAUGCCGCGUGUAUGAAGAAGGCCUUCGGGUUGUAAAGUACUUUCAGCGGGGAGGAAGGUGUUGUGGUUAAUAACC
rnacentral:rRNA from 1 species